ACUUGGGGCCCUUCAGCUUCCCUUCUGGACCUUCAAGGCUCACAUCUGGGACUUCAACAUCCACCUUGGGUCCUGAGACAUCAACGUCAGCCUUGGGCAAGCUCACAUCUGGGACUUCAACAUCCACCUUGGGUCCUGAGACAUCAAUGUCAGCCUUGGGCAGGUUCACAUCCACUUCUCGGCCCUCUCCUUUGAAGCCAGGCAUGCUAAACUUGGGCAUUUUCAUCUUGGGCAUCUUCAGGUGCCAGUCUGGGCCUUGAACCUCCACAUCUGGGACAUCAAUGUCCAUUUUGGCACUUUUAAGUUCAACAUCAGGAACUUUAAUCUCACUUUCAACC
rnacentral:lncRNA from 1 species